rnacentral:rRNA from 1 species
GACGAACGCUGGCGGCGUGCCUAAUACAUGCAAGUAGAACGCUGAAGGAGGAGCUUGCUCUUCUGGAUGAGUUGCGAACGGGUGAGUAACGCGUAGGUAACCUGCCUGGUAGCGGGGGAUAACUAUUGGAAACGAUAGCUAAUACCGCAUAAGAGUAGAUGUUGCAUGACAUUUACUUAAAAGGUGCAAUUGCAUCACUACCAGAUGGACCUGCGUUGUAUUAGCUAGUUGGUGGGGUAACGGCUUACCAAGGCGACGAUACAUAGCCGACCUGAGAGGGUGAUCGGCCACACUGGGACUGAGACACGGCCCAGACGCCUACGGGAGGCAGCAGUAGGGAAUCGUCGGCAAUGGACGGAAGUCUGACCGAGCAACGCCGCGUGAGUGAAGAAGGGUUUCGGAUCGUAAAGAUCUGUUGUAAGAGAAGAACGAGUGUGAGAGUGGAAAGUUCACACUGUGACGGUAUCUUACCAGAAAGGGACGGCUAACUACGUG